rnacentral:rRNA from 1 species
AGUGAACGCUGGCGGUAGGCCUAACACAUGCAAGUCGAACGGCAGCACAGUAAGAGCUUGCUCUUACGGGUGGCGAGUGGCGGACGGGUGAGGAAUACAUCGGAAUCUACUUUUUCGUGGGGGUUAACGUAGGGAAACUUACGCUAAUACCGCAUACGACCUACGGGUGAAAGCAGGGGAUCUUCGGACCUUGCGCGAUUGAAUGAGCCGAUGUCGGAUUAGCUAGUUGGCGGGGUAAAGGCCCACCAAGGCGACGAUCCGUAGCUGGUCUGAGAGGAUGAUCAGCCACACUGGAACUGAGACACGGUACAGACUCCUACGGGAGGCAGCAGUGGGGAAUAUUGGACAAGGGGCGCAAGCCUGAUCCAGCCAUACCGCGUGGGUGAAGAAGGCCUUCGGGUUGUAAAGCCCUUUUGUUGGGAAAGAAAAGCAGCAGGUUAAUACCCCGCUGUUCUGACGGUACCCAAAGAAUAAGCACCGGCUAACUUCGUG